rnacentral:rRNA from 1 species
UUAAGCGACUAAGCGUACACGGUGGAUGCCCUGGCAGUCAGAGGCGAUGAAGGACGUGCUAAUCUGCGAUAAGCGUCGGUAAGGUGAUAUGAACCGUUAUAACCGGCGAUUUCCGAAUGGGGAAACCCAGUGUGAUUCGUCACACUAUCAUUAACUGAAUCCAUAGGUUAAUGAGGCGAACCGGGGGAACUGAAACAUCUAAGUACCCCGAGGAAAAGAAAUCAACCGAGAUUCCCCCAGUAGCGGCGAGCGAACGGGGAGCAGCCCAGAGCCUGAAUCAGUGUGUGUGUUAGUGGAAGCGUCUGGAAAGGCGCGCGAUACAGGGUGACAGCCCCGUACACAAAAAUGCACAUGCUGUGAGCUCGAUGAGUAGGGCGGGACACGUGGUAUCCUGUCUGAAUAUGGGGGGACCAUCCUCCAAGGCUAAAUACUCCUGACUGACCGAUAGUGAACCAGUACCGUGAGGGAAAGGCGAAAAGAACCCCGGCGAGGGGAGUGAAAAAGAACCUGAAACCGUGUACGUACAAGCAGUGGGAGCACAGAGCAAUCUGUGUGACUGCGUACCUUUUGUAUAAUGGGUCAGCGACUUAUAUUCUGUAGCAAGGUUAACCGAAUAGGGGAGCCGAAGGGAAACCGAGUCUUAACUGGGCGUUAAGUUGCAGGGUAUAGACCCGAAACCCGGUGAUCUAGCCAUGGGCAGGUUGAAGGUUGGGUAACACUAACUGGAGGACCGAACCGACUAAUGUUGAAAAAUUAGCGGAUGACUUGUGGCUGGGGGUGAAAGGCCAAUCAAACCGGGAGAUAGCUGGUUCUCCCCGAAAGCUAUUUAGGUAGCGCCUCGUGAAUUCAUCUCCGGGGGUAGAGCACUGUUUCGGCAAGGGGGUCAUCCCGACUUACCAACCCGAUGCAAACUGCGAAUACCGGAGAAUGUUAUCACGGGAGACACACGGCGGGUGCUAACGUCCGUCGUGAAGAGGGAAACAACCCAGACCGCCAGCUAAGGUCCCAAAGUCAUGGUUAAGUGGGAAACGAUGUGGGAAGGCCCAGACAGCCAGGAUGUUGGCUUAGAAGCAGCCAUCAUUUAAAGAAAGCGUAAUAGCUCACUGGUCGAGUCGGCCUGCGCGGAAGAUGUAACGGGGCUAAACCAUGCACCGAAGCUGCGGCAGCGACGCUUAUGCGUUGUUGGGUAGGGGAGCGUUCUGUAAGCCUGCGAAGGUGUGCUGUGAGGCAUGCUGGAGGUAUCAGAAGUGCGAAUGCUGACAUAAGUAACGAUAAAGCGGGUGAAAAGCCCGCUCGCCGGAAGACCAAGGGUUCCUGUCCAACGUUAAUCGGGGCAGGGUGAGUCGACCCCUAAGGCGAGGCCGAAAGGCGUAGUCGAUGGGAAACAGGUUAAUAUUCCUGUACUUGGUGUUACUGCGAAGGGGGGACGGAGAAGGCUAUGUUGGCCGGGCGACGGUUGUCCCGGUUUAAGCGUGUAGGCUGGUUUUCCAGGCAAAUCCGGAAAAUCAAGGCUGAGGCGUGAUGACGAGGCACUACGGUGCUGAAGCAACAAAUGCCCUGCUUCCAGGAAAAGCCUCUAAGCAUCAGGUAACAUCAAAUCGUACCCCAAACCGACACAGGUGGUCAGGUAGAGAAUACCAAGGCGCUUGAGAGAACUCGGGUGAAGGAACUAGGCAAAAUGGUGCCGUAACUUCGGGAGAAGGCACGCUGAUAUGUAGGUGAAGCGACUUGCUCGUGGAGCUGAAAUCAGUCGAAGAUACCAGCUGGCUGCAACUGUUUAUUAAAAACACAGCACUGUGCAAACACGAAAGUGGACGUAUACGGUGUGACGCCUGCCCGGUGCCGGAAGGUUAAUUGAUGGGGUCAGCGCAAGCGAAGCUCUUGAUCGAAGCCCCGGUAAACGGCGGCCGUAACUAUAACGGUCCUAAGGUAGCGAAAUUCCUUGUCGGGUAAGUUCCGACCUGCACGAAUGGCGUAAUGAUGGCCAGGCUGUCUCCACCCGAGACUCAGUGAAAUUGAACUCGCUGUGAAGAUGCAGUGUACCCGCGGCAAGACGGAAAGACCCCGUGAACCUUUACUAUAGCUUGACACUGAACAUUGAGCCUUGAUGUGUAGGAUAGGUGGGAGGCUUUGAAGUGUGGACGCCAGUCUGCAUGGAGCCGACCUUGAAAUACCACCCUUUAAUGUUUGAUGUUCUAACGUGGACCCGUAAUCCGGGUUGCGGACAGUGUCUGGUGGGUAGUUUGACUGGGGCGGUCUCCUCCUAAAGAGUAACGGAGGAGCACGAAGGUUGGCUAAUCCUGGUCGGACAUCAGGAGGUUAGUGCAAUGGCAUAAGCCAGCUUGACUGCGAGCGUGACGGCGCGAGCAGGUGCGAAAGCAGGUCAUAGUGAUCCGGUGGUUCUGAAUGGAAGGGCCAUCGCUCAACGGAUAAAAGGUACUCCGGGGAUAACAGGCUGAUACCGCCCAAGAGUUCAUAUCGACGGCGGUGUUUGGCACCUCGAUGUCGGCUCAUCACAUCCUGGGGCUGAAGUAGGUCCCAAGGGUAUGGCUGUUCGCCAUUUAAAGUGGUACGCGAGCUGGGUUUAGAACGUCGUGAGACAGUUCGGUCCCUAUCUGCCGUGGGCGCUGGAGAACUGAGGGGGGCUGCUCCUAGUACGAGAGGACCGGAGUGGACGCAUCACUGGUGUUCGGGUUGUCAUGCCAAUGGCACUGCCCGGUAGCUAAAUGCGGAAGAGAUAAGUGCUGAAAGCAUCUAAGCACGAAACUUGCCCCGAGAUGAGUUCUCCCUGACUCCUUGAGAGUCCUGAAGGAACGUUGAAGACGACGACGUUGAUAGGCCGGGUGUGUAAGCGCAGCGAUGCGUUGAGCUAACCGGUACUAAUGAACCGUGAGGCUUAACCUU